CAUUUGAUAUGUGAUGAGCUAAGUGAUUCUGAUAAGAGUGUUCGCAAGUUAAAGUUGUCUCUUUCCCUUAGAGGAUCAUGGAAGAGCAGAAGCAAAGCAAAGCUACGACGGAGGAGUUUCAGGCAGCAGGACAUUUACGAGGAAGAGAAAUCCCCACCCCGCGCCGACGGCUGUUUCCUGAUCCUUGGACCACUGACCAGCGGCGCAUCUGAAACUAGACAUAUAAAAGUCAUUACUGGUAUACCUGCACUACAAGAAAUGUUAAAGGAGUCCUCUCACCAGAAGGAACGAGAUAUGAAAUGAAAAUGGGGACCUACAUAAAGGAAUGAAGAAUGGCAAACAGAAAUGAUGGAAUGGAGAAAGAGAAAUACAGAGUGGAGGAAAAUCUGCAUUUCACCCAAAUUGGCAUUGGAAAUCAUGAACCAGAUUCCAGGCCCUAGCAGCCCAACCUGAGUAGAGGCAGCUGGCUGCCUCCUAAAGGCUGUAGAUGACAAAGCCCACCCACCCCAGGACACCAUGGAAGAGGAGUGCCCAGCAAGAUUCUGGAGAGCAAGAGACAGCAACAUGAGAAAGAGUGGUGGGGGACGUUAUCCCAAACAGGUCCAUGAUGGUCUUAAAGAACAAGCCACAGACCAUCAGCCCUUGGCAAAAAGGGCGUCUGUUGUCCUUUAUCUCUCUGUUCCUUCUCACCUUGACUGCAUCCCUGCCUAUCACUGGGCCUGGCCCAGGAGGGAAAUGACCAUCUGGUUGGCCUGGAUAUGCUAAUGACCUCACGUGCUCUCCCCUUAAAGUGGAUUAAGACUCUAAGAUCCUAAAGAAUCAUCUGAAUAGUAGCCUCAGGAUGCCAGAGAAGUUAGGAACCAUAAGUCCUACCUGAGACAUAUUCAAGGACAGAUUUCAGCCAGAGGGACAGUCUAGUGACUUCCAGCUCUGCUUCCUGAUUCCUGUCCUCCCUUACCACAGGCUCCUGCUGGGCUGCAUGGCUGUAGUCUUUGCCCAAAGAGGGCUUACUGCAUCUUUAGAGUGCUUGUGGACCUGGUUGAGUCAGGUCUGCUCAUUUUCACUCCCCAAAAGGGCCACCUUGUCACCAUUAUGUCAGCCUCAAGGUGUCUCAGUUACUCUGUUACUCUCUCCUGCAAAGUGUGAGGCACGAUACACAAGUGGGGGCUAUUAAAUUUACUCAAGACAACUGGUAAUAAAAGACAAAGUUGCUGCCCUCCCAAAGCUGAUACUUUGCCAAUAAAGGAAGUGAAUGUGGGAUAUUUCAGAGUUCCCAUAUUGUUUGAGCAAUGUGUUUUGCGGUAGGCAUGCUAGUCUUGGGGACAGAACAAUCUGAAAGUGGAUUAUCUCCUUAUAAACUCCCCUUCUCAGGAAGAGCUUUGCAGAGAUGGCUAAACUAAUGCUAUAAAUAAGCACUUGCUCUCUGCUGCCUCCCUUAGAUCCACUAUCUGCCCUCCCCACCCUACUCUGUGUCCUGAAAGGCUGAUGCCUAUGGACUGUGUCUUCCAGGUGUUCCCACUCUCUGGCUUCAGGCUGGAUUGGCCAAUGAGAAGCACCCGUAGGACACUGGAACACAUGAAAGAAGAGAAAUCAGGUGUUCUCUUUCCACGCCCACCUGAUGUGGUACCACUGACCCAGCAGUGGCCGUGUCCUUGCAUGACCAUGGUCUCCAGCUCAUGGUCCCUCCUCCCCAGCUCCAGCUCUCACUGGGCUCUAAGAACAUAAUUUCCUCCCCUUUGACCCAGUCCACUCUGGCUCUGGGGGCCUCAACAGCCUUGCCGGCUCCCUUGCCUUCUGUGAAA